AUGUCUCCCCAGAAAGGAUCUGUGGUGGCACAGGGCAUUGGGGCCCCUGCCGAUAACAGGGACACUGACACAGUGGAACUGGAUGAACUGGGACCCCUGCUAGAAAAGAAAAGCAAACGUGUAAUUGCCAACCCAACCAAAGCUGAAGAAGAGCAAAUAUGUUCAGUCGCCCAGGAAGAGGAGGAAGAGUUGCGGGUACUGACACUUCCCCUGCAAGCCCACUACGCCAUGGAGAAGAUGGAGGAGUUUGUAUAUAAGGUCUGGGAGGGACACUGGAGAGUCAUCCCAUAUGAUGUGCUCCCUGACUGGAUGAAGGACAAUGACUAUCUGCUACAUGGCCAUAGGCCACCCAUGCCCUCCUUUCGGGCUUGUUUCAAGAGCAUCUUCCGCAUCCAUGCAGAAACUGGCAACAUCUGGACCCAUCUGCUUGGUUUUGUGCUGUUUCUCUUUUUGGGAAUCUUGACCAUGCUUAGACCAAAUAUGUACUUCCUGGUCCCUCUACAGGAGAAGGUGGUUUGGGGGAUGUUCUUUUUGGGUGCGGUGCUCUGUCUCAGCUUCUCCUGGCUCUUCCACACUGUCUAUUGUCAUUCCGAGAAAGUCUCUCAGACUUUUUCCAAACUGGACUAUUCAGGGAUCGCUCUGCUGAUUAUGGGGAGCUUUGUCCCCUGGCUCUAUUACUCUUUCUACUGCUCCCCACAGCUACGGCUCAUCUACCUCUCCAUUGUCUGUGUCCUGGGCAUUUCUGCCAUCAUUGUGGUACAGUGGGACGAGUUUGCCACUCCUAAGCACCGGCAGACAAGAGCAGGAGUGUUCCUGGGACUUGGCUUGAGUGGUGUUGUGCCCACCAUGCACUUCACUAUCUCUGAGGGCUUUGUCAAGGCCACCACAGUGGGCCAGAUGGGCUGGUUCUUCCUCAUGGCUGUGAUGUACAUCACUGGAACUGGCCUUUAUGCUGCUCGAAUUCCUGAGCGCUUCUUUCCUGGAAAAUUCGACAUAUGGUUCCAGUCUCAUCAGAUUUUCCAUGUCCUGGUGGUGGCAGCAGCCUUUGUCCACUUCUAUGGAGUCUCCAACCUUCAGGAAUUCCGUUACGGCCUGGAAGGUGGCUGUACUGAUGACUCCCUUCUCUGAGCCUUCCCAGCAGAGGGGUGGAGGAGGAACUUCCCAAGUGCUUUUAAAAAUAACUUCUUUGCUGAAGUGAGAGGAAGAGUCUGAGUUGUCUGUUUCUAGAAGAAACCUGUUAGAGAAUUUAGUACCAACCAAGCUUCAGGCCACUUUCACAUUCACUGGGCAAUAAACUUAACAUUUCCAUUCCCCUCGCUGGGAAGGGUGG